GAUGAAGAACGUAGCGAAAUGCGAUACGUAAUGUGAAUUGCAAAUUCAGUGAAUCAUCGAGUCUUUGAACGCACAUUGCGCCCCCUGGUAUUCCGGGGGGCAUGCCUGUCCGAGCGUCAUUGCUGCCCUCAAGCACGGCUUGUGUGUUGGGCCCCGUCCUUCGAUCCCGGGGGACGGGCCCGAAAGGCAGCGGCGGCACCGCGUCCGGUCCUCGAGCGUAUGGGGCUUUGUCACCCGCUCUGUAGGCCCGGCCGGCGCUUGCCGAUCAACCCAAAUUUUUAUCCAGGUUGACCUCGGAUCAGGUAGGGAUACCCGCUGAACUUAAGCAUAUCAAUAAGCGGAGGA
rnacentral:misc_RNA from 1 species